GUCACCCUUGCCGCCUCCCACGACGCCCUCUCCUGUGCGCGUCUUGCUAUCCCCACAAGCCCUCGCCGGCACGCUCCUGGCCUCCCUCCCCGCUCCCCCCAUGGCAGACCAUAAGCACGCACGAGGGGCGGCAUCAAUUUCACUCACUGAUGAAAUAACCUCUGCUGCCCGUGGCUCCCUGACUCUCUGAUGACAAGAACAGGCACUUGUGGCACUCAUACAAGUCAACAGGCUGUACUCUAAUGGUGCACAAAAGGGAUGUACUCUAUUAGUCAUUUCGUCAGAUUUUAAUGUGAGUACUUACUGACAAAUGCAUGCUAGAUUCAUCAGUGCUCCACUGGUCCUUUCUCUGCAGCUUCCUUUUGGGUGUAUUUUCUAGGCACAUAGUAUAAUACAUGAUACAUAAGGGCAACAUGAAUAGAUUGAAAUACUAAAAUUCACUAUUUGUAAUGGAUAUGUCGUCUCCUUGAACAGAUAUGAGCAGCCAGUAGUAUUUGUUCAUCGCCAUUUUUUGCAUAUAGGGGUAGUAAAUAAAUGUCUUCAUACGGAAUUAUACAUCAAAGGUGUGCUACAGUACUAGAGAUAUAUUUAUUUUCCCAUUUUUUGAUAACCGUCGCAAAGGACGGACACAUAUACAACAAGUAUAUUAUUUCACCUGUUGAGCACUCAUAAUUGAACCCAUACAACAAGUAUUUGUAGUUCUUUCUUACAAGUUGAAUAUUUGCAUAGUGAUUUUGUAUUAACUAUAGAUUCCCCUCAGCUACUGGAAGGUCCUAAUUGCAAUUCUGAGCACUCCUGAUUGUACCCAUACAACAAUUCUUAUAGUUCUUUCAUAACAGUUGAGUAUUUUCAUAUAGAUUCUGUACUAAUAGAGAUUGCCAUCAGCCAGUGAAAUGUCCAUUUUUUUGGAUCACCUCAAUUUUGCAACUCUGAUCUAUCUGUAAUAUUUUUCGAGUUAUCAAGAUUGUAUCCAUGACAUGGGGAAUAUUCGUUGAAUUAAAUCUGAGUCUACACGUGAUA